rnacentral:lncRNA from 1 species
UUGUUCUUGUCAUUGAGAUGUUCUUUUUCACUUAGCUUCAUGAACAUCUUCAUUUUUUUGGCUUCAGUCUUUUCUUUCAUCAAUCGAUUUGCUUCCUUUUGUGUCUUGGCUAUUUUGUCCAAUCGUUCCAAUUCUUGCUCUUUGAAUUGUUUGUAUUCAUUCCACUCUUCGUUGACGGUUUCCAAAGCUGCUCCUUUGCGUUUCUUUUUGCCUUUUUUUAUGCCUCUCUCCCCAUUGGACGAGCACUUGAUCCUACAGAGUUUGAUCCUACGGAGUUUGAAUCACUGACAUCACUCUCUCGGGAUCUCUUAGAUCCACUACUUGUAGAGCCAGUAUUUCCUCCUACUUGACUACUAUAGUGCGGUUGAUCACGAACAGCAAGCCACUCCGACAUUAAAUUGAAAUAUUCAUUCUUACCACUUGAAUAUCAUUCGUGCGAUUUUGCCAUUACAUCAUUCGCUGACCAUCUACUUUGUUGAAUACGCCUAGCGUUAUCGUAAGCGCCACUCCAUUUGCUCAAAUUUUUAUUCAUAUAGUUGAAAUGAUUUCUGCAUGAAGCUCCAUCACGG